GAUCACGUGUGAUACUAGAUCUAGUUUGCAUGAUGCGCUUUUAUCCGUUUGGAGUGCUCUGUCGACAACAAAGCUCGGUCUACCGACGUGUGUGCCACGCCGUAAAUUUUGUUGACGUGCUGCUACCUAACGGCCCCGAGUUAUCAAAACUUCCCCGGGCUUGGGGGGCUACGCAACUUCAUAAAG